rnacentral:rRNA from 1 species
GGCCUAACACAUGCAAGUCGAACGGUGAAAGAGAGCUUGCUCUCUGGAUCAGUGGCGAACGGGUGAGUAACACGUGAGCAAUCUGCCCUUGACUCUGGGAUAAGCGUUGGAAACGACGUCUAAUACCGGAUACGAGCUGUGAAGGCAUCUUCAACAGCUGGAAAGAACUUCGGUCAAGGAUGAGCUCGCGGCCUAUCAGCUAGUUGGUGAGGUAAUGGCUCACCAAGGCGUCGACGGGUAGCCGGCCUGAGAGGGUGACCGGCCACACUGGGACUGAGACACGGCCCAGACUCCUACGGGAGGCAGCAGUGGGGAAUAUUGCACAAUGGGCGCAAGCCUGAUGCAGCAACGCCGCGUGAGGGACGACGGCCUUCGGGUUGUAAACCUCUUUUAGCAGGGAAGAAGCGAAAGUGACGGUACCUGCAGAAAAAGCACCGGCUAACUACGUGCCAGCAGCCGCGGUAAUACGUAGGGUGCAAGCGUUAUCCGGAAUUAUUGGGCGUAAAGAGCUCGUAGGCGGUUUGUCGCGUCUGCUGUGAAACCCCGAGGCUCAACCUCGGGCCUGCAGUGGGUACGGGCAGACUAGAGUGCGGUAGGGGAGAUUGGAAUUCCUGGUGUAGCGGUGGAAUGCGCAGAUAUCAGGAGGAACACCGAUGGCGAAGGCAGAUCUCUGGGCCGUAACUGACGCUGAGGAGCGAAAGAGUGGGGAGCAAACAGGCUUAGAUACCCUGGUAGUCCACCCCGUAAACGUUGGGAACUAGUUGUGGGGUCCAUUCCACGGAUUCCGUGACGCAGCUAACGCAUUAAGUUCCCCGCCCUGGGGAGUACGGCCGCAAGGCUAAACUCAAAGGAAUUGACGGGGACCCGCACAAGCGGCGGAG